GACGAACGCUGGCGGCGUGCUUAACACAUGCAAGUCGAACGGAAAGGCCCCUUCGGGGGUACUCGAGUGGCGCACGGGUGAGUAACACGUGAGUAACCUGCCCUUGACUUCGGGAUAACUUCAGGAAACUGGGGCUAAUACCGGAUAGGAAUCCUUGCUGCAUGGUGGGGGUUGGAAAGCUUCGGCGGUGUUGGAUGGACUCGCGGCUUAUCAGCUUGUUGGUGGGGUAGUGGCUUACCAAGGCUUUGACGGGUAGCCGGCCUGAGAGGGCGACCGGCCACCUUGGGACUGAGAUACGGCCCAGACUCCUACGGGAGGCAGCAGUGGGGAAUAUUGCACAAUGGGCGGAAGCCUGAUGCAGCAACGCCGCGUGCGGGAUGACGGCCUUCGGGUUGUAAACCGCUUUCAGCAGGGGCGAAGCUUGUGGUGACGGUACCUGCAGAAGAAGCACCGGCUAACUACGUG
rnacentral:rRNA from 1 species